CGACAAUAUAUCCGGUUGUCUUGUGACUUCCGGUUACCAAUUUUAUCACAAUUGACCGAUACUAGAAGCGGAAGGCGUCAACAGAACUUUAACAAUUUCACCUUUUAAACGCCAAGAUGGGGGCCUGUCUUGCUUUGUGCUCUUUAGCCAGCUGUGCCUCCUGUCUGUGUGGCUCAGCACCAUGCCUCCUGUGCGGCUGCUGUCCCUCCUCCAAUAACUCUGUCAUUACCAGGCUGGUGUUCUCUUUGUUUUUGUUGAUGGGAACAGUGGUAUCUGUCAUCAUGAUCCUCCCUGGGAUGGAAACACAGCUCAGAAAAAUACCAGGAUUUUGCCAAGGAGGUGCCUCAUUUUAUGGCAUUGAAAAUGUGGCCAACUGUGACGUCCUUGUGGGCUACAAAUCUGUGUAUCGCAUGUGCUUCGCCAUGACCUGUUUCUUCUUUCUCUUCUGCAUCAUCAUGAUCCGUGUCCGCAGCAGCAAAGAUUGUCGUGCAGCUAUUCAAAAUGGGUUCUGGUUCUUUAAGUUUCUGAUCCUGGUUGGAAUAACAGUUGGAGCGUUUUUCAUCCCUGAUGGAACCUUCCAUAAUGUGUGGUUUUACUUUGGAAUGAUUGGAUCCUUUAUCUUCAUCAUCAUCCAACUUAUUCUGCUCAUCGACUUUGCUCAUUCCUGGAACAAGGGUUGGGUUGAAAGGGCUGAAGAAAAUGACAACAAAUGCUGGUAUGCAGGUCUCUUCACUUUUACCUUCCUCAACUAUGCCCUGGCUUUCACUGCUGUGGUGCUUUUCUACGUUUACUACACACAGCCUGAUGACUGUGCAGAACACAAAGUGUUCAUCAGCCUUAACCUGAUCUUCUGCAUCAUCGUCUCUGUUGUGUCAAUCCUACCAAAGAUACAGGAAGCUCAGCCAUUCUCUGGUUUGCUCCAGGCUUCACUUAUCUCCCUCUACACCAUGUAUGUGACUUGGUCUGCAAUGACCAACAACCCGAAUCGUAGGUGUAACCCCAGUCUGCUGAGUCUGGUGUCAAACACCAGCACCACUCAACCCCCUGCUGACAGCACUGGAGAUCACGUGCAGUGGUGGGACGCUCAGGGCAUCGUAGGUUUGAUCAUCUUCCUCUUCUGUACUCUCUACGCCAGUAUCCGCUCCUCAAGCAACAACCAGGUGAACAAGCUGAUGCAAACAGAGGAGGGUGGUGCAUCAGAUCGAGAAGGCAUGGUGGGGGGCGACGGUGUACACAGAGCUAUAGACAAUGAGGAGGACGCAGUCACCUACAGCUACUCAGUUUUCCACUUCCACCUGUGUCUGGCCUCUCUGUACAUCAUGAUGACACUCACCAACUGGUACCAACCCGACACCACCACUCAGACCAUGACGAGCACCAUGCCGGCCGUGUGGGUGAAGAUGUGCUCCAGCUGGCUGGGCCUCGGCCUUUACCUCUGGACCCUCAUUGCUCCGGUCAUCUUUCCUGACAGGGAGUUCAGCUGAACGCACUUGCACCUCAAGCUUUAAAUACCACCUUAACAACAAGCAUGUUGUUGUGGAGGCUUCACCUUCAGGUCAGAUGUCCAACCGGUGUCAGACCAGCUUCACAAGGCACAGGGUGCCGGGCUGGCACGGGGGACAUGUUGACUUUGGCUCCUGCAGUCACUCAGUCCAGUUGGCACAGUCUGUAACCAUUCACAACACACUUCCUUCUGUCGUCUUCCACCCUCCCACAACCAGCCUGCUUAUGACAAAACUCGGUGGCCGGACGGUGUCACACUGUAGACGUGAGACGUGAAUUCUUCUCCUCUUCGUAGGUGGUGGAGGCAAAAACAAUAAUAAAAGGCAGCAGGAAGCUGUAAAAGCAAAUAUGUUACUCUGAGAAAGAAAAGAAAAGUGGUUGAGAUAUUUCAGUGAGUUGAGCAAUCCAAACUUUUCAUGUUUCAGUUCUUAGAUGUAAGUUGUCAAAAGAGUUGACGUAGGUUUAGAAUAGUGUUGUUGUUUGUUUUUACAGGCAAAACAAAACAGUUACUUUUUAAUUAGGGUAAAUAUUUUAUUUGUAUAAAUCAUGUCUGUUACGUUGUAUAAUUACAACGUAACAGACACUGACUGAACAGAUGUUUGGCUCUCAAACCUGUUUUUAUUGUGACUAAUCCAAAUAAUGUCUUGUAAAAUCCUAAUAUAAGCAGCUGCUUUAAAUCAAGUUAUUACACAAGUUUGUUUUUUUUUUUGAAUAACUACUUGUUCCAUUUUUUCCCCCUUAACCCCGAAGACUGACUUUGACUUUCAGACCCAACACUUCUCCCCCUUGGUGCCAACACGAACUGAACAGCCUCUGGACCCAGGCAGCAGCAUCUGAGAGCAAAUUAGCCAUGCACCGUAAAUCCCACUGCUGCCCUCCUCCCCUGUCCCCUUAUCAUCAGGUAAACAGAUGUGAACUUGAUUUUCCUCCCGAGGUAGAUUUGAGACACACUCAGUCUUUGGUGGUUCGCUCCUGUGACAUAAAUCCCACCUUCAUUUCCUCUGUAAUCAUCAGACACAAUUUGUUGCCGUCAUAAGAAAUCAAAGACUGUCAUAUUGGGAUUGUGAAUCACUUGGUGUUGCUGCAUCGUUGGGUGUCGUGGCAGUUUUUAUGGAGGAUUGACCGAAAAACAAAAUGGAUUACCACUCAUGGUGUUCUCCCCGACCUUAAUCUUCACUUGUCUUUUCCCACGUUAGCUGGGAAAUGUCACCGUUAAGCUGCAGUUUACUUGUCAAGAAUAAGGUCAUUUUUUUUACACCGGUCAGCACAAUCAUUUAAGCUCUGUCACUGUUUUUAUCAUUGUCAUAAAUAUAAUACAUGGUCAUCUCUUUGACAGACCGACUGAGAACGCCUGUCUGAGGUGUAAUUGGGUUUUAAAAGAGGGAUCCAGGCCCAUUAAAUUAUGGGCUGCAUGCAGGGGAGCUAAUUGUGUUUAGGCCCUGCUGGUACACUACAUGUGCACUGAAAACAUUUACCAAACAUUAAGCCCCAAUUAGGCUUUUCGAGAUGGGAAACUUGUUGCUGGAUGAUGGGAACAGAAGAUGCUGAUGCCAGUUCCCUCUUAUAUGUAGUUUGUCUUGUUGGCAGUGAGACACCUGUCCACGUCUGAAGAACUGAUGAACGUCCUGUGGAAGUUUACUCAGUGUGACCGUCCCUGCCGUCCCAGUCUGGCUGCGGUGCAAUGCAGUCAACCUGUCAUGAGCACAAGGUGUAAAAGUCGAUGUGUGUGUGUGUGUGUGUGACUUUGUGAAACUCUCCCUCCUGCACGCAUGCUCCUCCUCAGUUCAGAGCAGCAGUUAAUGCAGUUAUAUAACAGAGAGUGCAGUCUGUGUCUGCUGUGAGCCAGGCCAGUCUGGUUACAUAAGCCUGUCAGAGUGGUAUUAUAACAGUACGGAGUGCUCACACCACAGCAUGUCCCCGCUCUCCUUCCACCUUCUCCGGCUCUGUCUCUCACUUCCUCCCACUGUCUUGUCUCUGCUCUCUUCUCUCACACUUUUCGUCCCUCUACCUCUUCCUUUUGUUGCGACGCUGUUUUCAACAACAGGAGGUGAAUUACCACGCUGAAUGAAGCUGCAGAGAUGAAAGUCUGAAAAUACGGCACACAAAAUAGCAGGAAUAACAACACGCUCCUCUGCUCGUCAGGAAGAAUGUCCCUGGUUCUCUGCACCUUGACACUGAUUACGUACUGUACUGGACUCUUGACAAACAACACAUCUCCAUGGUCUGAUAUCCAGACAGAGCAUCAUUCGAUCACCUCUGUAGAGAACAGCUACAGCUACGGCCUGGCUCUGACCUUUUGCAUCCAGUAUCUGACCUUUGUCACAACAACUCCUGAAGUCGCUCCACACCAAUGUCUCUAUGAAAAAUCCAUACAUAUCUUUGUUCAGUGCGUGGCCUUAGAUCCUGUUCAUAACUCCAUCAUUAAGUUAAAGGAAGUUGUUUUUACCGUGACCCAGAUCAUUUUUCAGGCCUUGUUUGGAAGCAGAGGUCAGAUCAGCACUUCCAGUAACCGAAUGAGACUCAUGUCAGGUCAGUAGUUGGUCACUGACCAUCUGUGGCAACGGAGCUGCGGAGCCAAACAAUAAUGGAGGACAGUGUGUGCAUGUGAGGACUGACCUGAGAGUCCACUAAACAAGUUAGACAUUCCUCUACAGAGGGGUGUCCAUACUUUUUGGCCUCCAUGCUACUUUAAAAAAAGAUUUAUUAUUAAAAAUAAAUAAAUAAAAUAAAAUAUUUGCUUAUAUGCUUUGAGUAAGUAUUAUAUUAUCUUCAACCUGUCACUGGAACCAGAGGUGGAGGUUAGCUAAACUGCUACAGCCUGGUGUGGGACUGGCCUUAAUGUUGUCAUUCACUCAGAGUAAACUUUACAUAUUUAUUGCUCUGUGUACUUUAAACACAGCUAUACUUGUAGGGUGUUUUUGUUUGUUUGUUUCAUUUUGUAACAUUUUAAAUAUAAAUGACAAACAAAAAACGUCUUUUAAGAUAACUAGAAAUUUUCCAGUGUGUCCAUUUGUCGUCCAACAUGUUGGUUUAGUGGUUACAUGUGUCCUGAGUGGGCCACAUGUCGUCACUUUUGGCCCUUUACCCUCACAUGACCCACUCUCCGGGCCUUUGUUAGGUUUUGUUGUCCGUCCUGCAGCACCAGGCCUCGGGUAGAAACUACAGUCGAAUGUUGCUCCCAUAGUUGGAAUCCCAAAAUUGAGCCACAUCAGUUCAAUUAGAAUGAACAGCGUCGAGCAGGAACUGUUGAUAUCAACCAAUCACCGUGUCCUCCAGCUGGUGAAUAUUCAUAGCGCGGGGUCGUCUCUUUUACCUCAUUGGUGGACGCUGAAGCAGGAGGGGCGGGGCUUCCGAGGCUAUGUGCUGCGGGUAGUGCGGAGCAGCUGAGUGUGUGCUUUUCCAGGGCGAGAUGUUGUUAUGUUGUGGCGAUCAGCUGAAUGUGCCACCGCUGUCCGCUCUCACACCACGGCAGGGAGACCCCCGACUCUGUCCGGCUCCUUCUCCACUGCACCGCUCUCCGCCCCGGACAGCAGCUCCAUCCACGACACCACGAUCCAGGAAAUGCCGACGUCUGGCCCUUCGGUUACCGGAUAAAUGACUGCAGCCGCCUGCACCGUAGCACGCUGGUAAAUGAUGAAGCUAAAUUAUUAUUGCUAUGAUUAUUAUUGUUAUGAGCUUUAAUGUCAUCGCUUGUUCACUGUCGCUGAUUCACAUGGAUGGCGAUCAUAGACGGAGGCUGUGUGUGAGGUGUGGAGCUGAAGGCAGGAUCUGAGUAGUGUCUGACGGUCAGAGUGUGUCCUCAACUUCAUCUGCCUCGUUAUGUGUUAUAAUGAUAACUGGAGAGGAGGUGGAGACGGCCACUGUGUACCGAUCAUAGCAGCAGCAGCAGCGGUAGUAGCAGUACCAGUCAGCUCAGAUGGGUGAAGGUAGAGGAGGAGGAGGAAGAGGAGACAUCGGUUGUGGUCCAGUGUGGAGCAGCUAAUGUUCCACGAGCUGACAGACUGUAUGCAUCACCAGUGAACCUCAGCGCAUCCUAUAGGUGUCAGCUGAGGACAGCACCAGUGCACCAGUGUAGAACAUGUUUACCUCUGUGACACCAUCAGGACCAGAAUAGCGUUACUUUGCAAUAUUGUUUAGAAAAUACCAAAAAAAAAAAAAGACAGUUCUUUGGAGCAGAAAUGGAAUCUUCUCCUUAAUCUGGACGUGUUUAUGAGGUCAUAGUAGUUUGGAGGUUGACACCUGUGUAUGUACCUCAGACCGGGGCAUUGUUUGCAGAUGCCACCAUCUUACCCUGGCAUGUUUCCACUGCAGAAAGCAGCUUUGGCUUUUUGAAGUGAAAGCUCAGCAGGCGCACGGUGAAGAACAAAGACCUUCCUGAUAUUUUUUGGGAAGCUAACUUUCCUUCUGUGAUGUAGUGUGAGCCGAGUGAGAUCAUCUAGUGUGUAGGAGGAAUUGGACGCAGAACAUCUGCAGCCCUGAGUGAAUCCCUGGAGAUGGACCAACAGUGACUGACAUGGUUUCACAUGUAAAUGAGUUUGUAGACAUUUCCAUAGAAGUGAAACCAAAAUUAAAACAUGGUUUUAAUGU